GUUCGGACUGUAGGCGUGCAACUCGCCUCACGAAGUUGGAAUUGCUAGUAAUCGUGGAUCAGCAUGCCACGGUGAAUACGUUCCCGGGUCUUGUACACACCGCCCGUCACACCAUGGGAGCUGGUAACACCCGAAGUCAGUAGUCUAACCGCAAGGAGGACGCUGCCGAAGGUGGGAUUAGCGACUGGGGUGAAGUCGUAACAAGGUAAC
rnacentral:rRNA from 1 species